AGGGUGUAACGCUGCAGACUUGGUGUUGGAAGCCCUUUGGGGGCGAUUCAGUGCCGGAGAGAAGUUGUUAAGUCUGCUACUUGGGGAGUACGUCCGCAAGGAUGAAACUUAAAGGAAUUGGCGGGGGGAGGCACCGCAACGGGAGGAGCGUGCGGUUAAUUGGACUCAACGCCGGGAAGCUCACCGGAUAAGACAGCGGAAUGAUUGCCGGGCUGAAGACUCUGCAUGACUAGCUGAGAGGUGGUGCAUGGCGUAGACGUCU
rnacentral:rRNA from 1 species